CAGCCGCCGCGGUAAUACGGAGGGGGCUAGCGUUGUUCGGAAUUACUGGGCGUAAAGCGCACGUAGGCUGCUUUGUAAGUUAGAGGUGAAAGCCUGGUGCUCAACUCCGGAAUUGCCUUUAAGACUGCCGAGCUAGCAGGUGAGAGAGGUAAGUGGAAUUCCGAGUGUAGAGGUGAAAUUCGUAGAUAUUCGGAAGAACACCAGUGGCGAAGGCGGCUUACUGGCUCAUACUGGACGCUGAGGUGCGAAAGCGUGGGGAGCAAACAGGAUUAGAUACCCCUGUAGUCCCUGUCUCUUAUAC
rnacentral:rRNA from 1 species